rnacentral:rRNA from 1 species
UUGCUACCUGAUUCAGCGGCGGACGGGUGAGUAAUGCCUAGGAAUCUGCCCGAUAGUGGGGGACAACGUUUCGAAAGGAACGCUAAUACCGCAUACGUCCUACGGGAGAAAGUGGGGGAUCUUCGGACCUCACGCUAUCGGAUGAGCCUAGGUCGGAUUAGCUAGUUGGUGAGGUAAUGGCUCACCAAGGCGACGAUCCGUAACUGGUCUGAGAGGAUGAUCAGUCACACUGGAACUGAGACACGGUCCAGACUCCUACGGGAGGCAGCAGUGGGGAAUAUUGGACAAUGGGCGAAAGCCUGAUCCAGCCAUGCCGCGUGUGUGAAGAAGGUCUUCGGAUUGUAAAGCACUUUAAGUUGGGAGGAAGGGCAGUAAGCUAAUACCUUGCUGUUUUGACGUUACCAACAGAAUAAGCACCGGCUAACUUCGUGCCAGCAGCCGCGGUAAUACGAAGGGUGCAAGCGUUAAUCGGAAUUACUGGGCGUAAAGCGCGCGUAGGUGGUUCAGCAAGUUGGAUGUGAAAUCCCCGGGCUCAACCUGGGAACUGCAUCCAAAACUACUGAGCUAGAGUACGGUAGAGGGUGGUGGAAUUUCCUGUGU